UACGGAGGAUCCAAGCGUUAUCCGGAUUUAUUGGGUUUAAAGGGUGCGUAGGCGGCCUGUUAAGUCAGAGGUGAAAGACGGUAGCUCAACUAUCGCAGUGCCUUUGAUACUGAUGGGCUUGAAUGAACUAGAGGUAGGCGGAAUGAGACAAGUAGCGGUGAAAUGCAUAGAUAUGUCUCAGAACACCGAUUGCGAAGGCAGCUUACUAUGGUUUAUUGACGCUGAGGCACGAAAGCGUGGGGAUCAAACAGG
rnacentral:rRNA from 1 species